rnacentral:rRNA from 1 species
UACAGAGGGUGCGAGCGUUGUCCGGAAUCACUGGGCGUAAAGGGCGCGUAGGCGGCUCCUUAAGCGGGUGGUGAAAGCGCGGGGCUCAACCCCGCGUCGGCCAUGCGAACUGGGGAGCUGGAGCACGUCAGAGGCAGGCGGAAUUCCGGGUGUAGCGGUGGAAUGCGUAGAGAUCCGGAAGAACACCGGUGGCGAAGGCGGCCUGCUGGACGUGGCUGACGCGAGGCA